rnacentral:lncRNA from 1 species
CCUGAAGAUUCUCCAUGUAUGCUAGAUGUAAGACAUUGAACGGUGGACUUUCACAUUGGCAAACCAUUACAGAUUGAGUGAUGCUCACCAGCUUUGGAUAUUUCAAAAACUUUUGGACAGCAAGUGAACUUCGGAAGGUCCAGCUUAAAACAUUUAAAUGCUUCAAACCCAGCAAUUCCUUCAUCAAAGGUUCAGCAUCAUCACAUAGAACGUUACCUUCUAUUACGCUCCAGCGACCGCGUGAAAGCAACCUGAGUACCUCCAACUUUGAAAAGCCAGAUAUCAAUUGAUGUGGAAUUAUAGACAAAAACCGUGUAUAGUCCAAGUUCAAAUAUCUCAACUUCUCCAACGCCUUCAGCUCUUGCGGCAACCCAGUUAUGUUAGUCGAUGAUAGAUCAAGAUGAUGUAAUGAAACCAAACCUGAAAUCCCUGAAGGUAGUGUUCUUAGGGGAAAAUUUCCUCUUAGACUUAAUACUCUAAGAGAAGACAUCGAUUGAAAGAAGCCAUCAGUAAUCUCCUCAAUCCGAUUUCCACCCAGAAGUAAAGUUACGAGGCGCGGACACGUGGGAAUUUCCAAUAAGCUCCUAAUUCCAUUUCCCAUCAGAGAUACCCGUUUGGCACCUUCCCAUUCUUCAAACUUUGGUGCUUCGGUCAAUUCAACUCCAGCGCGAACCAGAAAGUUCUGCUCCUCCUUGUCUACCGUGCACGCUAUCCAUAAUGACAUCUCACGAAUCAUAUCGUGCAUCUUUACAUGAUCAUCGCCUUCUUCCUCCAAUAAGCAUGCAUGAAGAAGGUCAUCAAUAAAAUCGCAUCCACCAUCAAAAUCAUAUACAAAUCCUUCACUAAUCCAAUAAUCAAUCAAAUCCCUUUUAGGAAUUUCGUAGUCUUCAGGAUAUAAACAACAAUACAGGAGACAGGAACGAAGUUCGUCCGUAGACAAACUAUCAUAGCUGAACUUUAAACGCGAAAACACCUCUUCUUUCAUACCUGAGAAUUUAGAAGCUGAUGUUCUCAUUUUGUGAAUUGCACGUUUCCAAUCUCCAACUUUCCUUUGGCUUUUCAUGGCUCGACCCACUGUUUUAAGCGCUAGCGGCAACCCACCACACUCUCUUGCCAAGGUUUCGGCUAGCUCUGGAAUACCGGUAUGACUGUCCAGAGUGGAUCUGUCGACCAUCUCCUGAAAUAAUUCCCAGGCUUUAUCAUGCGCCAAACUAUACACUUCCACCUUUUCAGCGUCCAUUUGAUCGCAAACACCAGCUGAACGAGUUGUCAAGACUACUUUGGACCCAUCAUUUAGUUUUUGAAGAGGGACACCCAAUUCUGUUAAAUGAAUGGGUUUCCAUAUAUCAUCCAAUAACAACACAAACUUCCUUCUGCUUAAAAUGCUAGCGAUGUCCACAGCCUUGUCUUGAGGACUUUUUUUCGCCCAGCUUUGGUCUUCUGAAAAGCCAAUCCUUUUUCCAAUGUCAUCUUGAAGUGUUGACGCAGCCGCCCAGAUAACAACAUCAAAAUUAUGCUGUUGAUGGCAGAAGUUGUUGUUGACUUGUUUUAAAAGGGUAGUUUUGCCGACUCCCCCUAUACCAUACAAGCCGAUAAUUCCCCUGUUAUUUUCCUCAUCAGUGAUACAUCUCCAAACUCGAUCAAGUAAUAAUUCUUGACCAACAACUGUGUGCUCAACAGGUAAUUCAAUUGCUGCACCAUCCGGCGCCUUCUCAACAACCACUUCAAUUUUUUCUCCGUCUUUCUUUAAAUUGAUCACUCGAUCCGUCAACUCGACCACCUGAGUCCCGUAAUUGUAGCUUGAAACGAAGUUUUUGGAACAGAGGCCUCCAAGGCACAAUCUAUCGAUUUCAUGAGCUCUAACUCGUUCCAGCUCGGUAAAUUCAGUUUCCAGUUUUUGCACAUCUUCAAGCCACCCUGCGACCUGGUUCGUUCGUCUGGUUCGAGGUCGUUGUUCUUCGACCUCAACCUUGGUCUUCAGAUCGUCCCUUGCUCGAGUCAAUUUGUGCAAUUCAGUCUCCAAGACCCGAAGGUUUUUUUCGAGACCCCAUACAUAAUUUGCUUGUUCACCAACGCAGUUUGAAGUUCGAUCAAAUAAGUCUGCUGGUAAGAAGGUUGAGAUUAGGUUACCCAUUGUCGUUGACGAAAAGAGGAAGAGAAGCAACGAGUACAAUGAAAAGAAUUAAGCUAAUUUUUACUUAAAUUCUUAAGAAUUGCUGUCAAAUGCAAACAGAGUAUGAGAAUCAGGUCUUUAUUGAUUAUGAUGACUUGAAUGAAAAUGAAAUACAGAGCUUUGCUAGUUUACAUACAGAGACAAAAAAUAAUGACAGCUAGCCUAAGGGGUAUUACACGGAAGUAAUCAAAAUUGAUCCGUGAAUAUAGCAAUUGUGAACCAAUCACAUUAAGCUUCUAGAAGAUGCAACUAUUCAAUGCACAUGCGCUGCUAUUCUUCAACAUAACAGUUUUGCCAGCUCAACAAAUCCAACUCACAGAAUCAAGGUCAACCGUUGACUCUUCACAGCUGCUGCUUUCAACAAUUUUUAGAGAACCACAACACCAAAAUAAAAAUAUGAUACAUUUGUUGCUUUAUUCAUUAUGUCAAAUAUCAAGAAUAUAAUGAUACGUUUGCACGUCAUAUAAAAUUUGUAUUUCAACCAAGUAAUCACAUAGUUAAUAUUAAAUCUUAUCAUUUGUUAUCUAAGUGAUAAAUUUAUAUUGACAAUAUAUUAUUUAGAAUAAAAAUUUUCUACCUUAGGUUUGGAUGAAGAUCCAAAAUAUUAAGUCAAUGAUAGAUAGAUAAAAAAUAAAAUAAAAUAAAUUUUAACAUUAAUUUUUUAUUUAAUAAAAAGUAAAUUCAAUACAGAAUUCUAAUCCCUUAAUCUCUCUCCAUCCACGGCAAAAGAAAGCAGCAACUCAACUCUCUUUAAAGGCUAUGGAGGUUCUCUUGCGACCUCUCUUCAGCAUACCCUCCAGAACAUUAACCCCACCACCGCCAUCACCACCCUGUUAAACACGUUUUCAAAACGUGUAUAAUGUGGCCAUCUAAUUUAUUUUUAAUUAUUAGUUUUCUAAUUUAAAUUGAUAUUUAUCUUUAUUUAGUUUACUUUUAAAACGUUGGGUUUGGUUUAAAAUUUGAAUAAAGAUAAAACAUCUCUUCCUAAUAUCUCUCAUACACGUUACGGGUGGUUUACUAAAAUCAAGGGGAUAACGGCUCAUAACUUCCUCUUUUAUUUAAACUUGUCAUCUUGAUGGGAGAUGUUUUACGGUCACGUUUUUUCAAGAAAAAUAUUGAGGGUCCCUGGUCUAACAACAGAGCCUGUGUAUACCAUCUACUCUCAGGAAUUAAGUGUUGGAUAGACUAGAAAAUUCUGAGUACAAAGCAUGGCUUGUUUUCGUUGGUUUUGUUUGCAUUCCAGUAGAAAGGUUGUGUACAAUUGAAUUUGAUAACUAUGGCAGGAGGUAAGUUUUCUAACUUGUGCAUGAUGAAUAUAGUCUUUUACACCCCACCAAUCAUCUCACUCUCAAAACUCUCCAUUUUUGCCUCCAUUAAUUCCCACUCUCUCCAAAACCCUGAUUUCUUCCUCUUCUCGUUUCCUCUCGCCCGCCCCUGGUACGCCAAUUUCCAUUCUCUCGCUCUUUUUUUUGGCAAUUUUGGCUUGAGUUUUUUGGGUUUUUGGUAAUUUAUCUUUAAUUUUUGUGGGUAUCCUUCGUUUUUUUAGUUAUCAUACAUGAGUUGAGUAGUCGUAGACGAUUUUUUAUUGUUUUAAACUGAACGGAUUCUUUGUAUUUCGAAAAUGAAAUUCAUUGUUUGUGAAGUAACUUUUAAAGCUGUUGAGUUGAGUUUGAAAACUUAAUGUGCUUAAAUUUAUCUAUGUGGAUUUGAAUCAGUUAGACAAGCAGCACAGGAGAGCCAAUCGAGCGCGGAGGUGAAUGCCGAUAGAAGAGAAUGGUUUAUGCAAGGUACAUUAAUAGUAAUUUGAUCUGAUGCCAAUUUUAUUUCUAUAUUAAUUUAUUAGAUUAUGUAAUGUUAUAAAUUCUUUGUUCAAAAUGUAGAGCUUGGAAAUUUAGUCGGUACAUUAUGGUAAUGAAUGUAGCUUGUGUAUCUGUUCAAAUUUAUGUCUAGCUUUGCUGUUUUGGUAAUGGUUUGUUUAGUAUAAAUUUUGUGUUGGUUAUGAUGUUGUUUAGUGGUUUGGAUCACUCGUGCUCUUUUGGCCCCCACUAAAAUUAAUUUUUCAUCAAAGGAUAUGAAUAGUUGUUCGAUGGAAACUUAAUGGAAGAUGUGGGAGCAUCUUUAUGAGUUAAGAUUCCCUGUAGCGAGUAUAUCCUUUGGUGCAUGAGAGUUUAAGUGAUUAUCGUCAUUGUUGAGUUAAACAAUGGGAUUAAUUUUCAUGUUCAUGUAAGGUGAUCAUCGCUAAAGUUAGAGCCAUUAGGUGAUAAAUUGAUACUUCAUUGUGUUGUUAUGUUUGUUAUACUGGAUAAAAAUCCCAGUGAUAGAAUUCAUGUUAGGCGGUUUUGGGUCCUAUUCAAUCCCAAAAGAUGAAUAAGGGGUGAGGCUUUCCCUCACAAUUGUAAAAUCACCACCAUCCUAGUUCACAACCGAUAUAAGACAACCCAACAAUCUCUCCCGCACAUAUUGGGCCUUGGUUCAAAAGCAUGGACACUCGUUUUCACUAGUAGGCUGUUGGACUGAGAUGUUGGUGAAUCUUUUAGUUGAUUUUUUUUUUUUUAUAAAAAGGAAAAGAUUAUGAAGAGAUAAAUACAAUAAAGAAAAAAAGAGAUCAAUAUUGCAAUAAAACAUUUAUGUAGUGAUAUUUUAUAUAAGAAUAAUUUCAUAUAGCUAUAAAAGUAAUGGUCCUAAUUUAUAUUAGGCCAAUUAUAAAUAAGAAUAAAUUUCAUGCUGUAAUAAUUUAUAAUUUUGCUAAAUCUCACCUUAAGGAGCUCACCUCCACGUAGUGUAAAUAUAUAUAUAGAAAAAAAAAAUAUGUUAUAUUACAUUAAGUGAACUUGGGGGUUGUUUGGUACCCCUCUUUACCUGGGAUUGCAUUGUGUUAGCAAUGCAACCCCAUGUUUGGGGUACCAAAUGGCUAUAUUAGCUAAACUCGACAUAUAGUCGGGUUUAGCUAAUGCGUCCAGUUACCGCAUUAGCUUUAGCUUCCUCUUUUUUUUUUUUUUUAUACUUUGUAAUAAUGAUAAAUGAAUAUAAUUUUUAAUUUAAUAUUAUAUAAUAUUAUUUUUACUUUAUAAUUUUAAUAUAAAUUAAUAAAUUUAUUGUUUAAUAAUAUUAUAUUAUAUUUUAAUUUUUAUCAUAGUAAAUGUACAACUAAAAAAUGUAUUAUUUAAUUAUAUUACAUUAAUUAAUAUGUAAAAUUAUAUUAAUUAAUAUAUAUAAUUGAUUAAUUUUUAAUAAGUUAAUAUAACUAAUAAUAAAUACUUAAAUAAUAUAAUAUAAUAUAAUAUUAUUUAAUUUAUUAAAAUAAUUAAACUAGUUAUUUUUAAAUAAUUUAAUAUAACUAAUAAUAAAUAUUUAAAUAUGAAUAAAUUUGAAUAAUAUUAAUUAAAAAUUAAUAAAAUAUAUAAUUAUUAGAUUGUUUAGCACAAUUCAUUUUUUAGCACAAUUCAUUAGUAUUUUCUAAAUAUAUAAUUUAAAUUAGUCACAAAAAAUUAAUACAAUAUAGUGCAAUAUCAAAUAUAAUAUAAUUAAAAAUUAAAUAUAAUACAGUAUAGUACCAAACAUUAUACAACAUUAUUAUAAUACAUUACUAAUACAACACAACAUAAUGCAAUACACCUGCAUUAAAAUAAUGCAAUACAAUAUAAUAUAAUACAGCGUGCCAAACGCACUCUUGUAUCCAUAUAGUACAAAAACAACAUAAGAGAAAAAUGUUAAAGAGAACACAAAAGUUCAGAGACUUUUAAGAUAAUGUUUUAUAUUUGUAACAAGCAUGUGCUAACUUUUUUGAAACCAUGUAUAUUUAUUUUUUCCCUAAGUUACAUGCAUGUAACUUAGCAUUAGCCUCAUUUUAUUAUUAUCUAUACAUUGGAUUUGACAUGUUUCAUUAAUAAUUUAUUACUACAUCUCUAUUAAAAUAAUUGAGGUCCUGCACUUUCAUUGGAAGAUAGGAGAAAAAAAUAAUUGAUAAGAGAAGAAAACAAUUUAAAAUAAAAUUUUAAAAUAUUUAUCAUUACUUAAAAAAAUUAAUUUUCUUUUCCUAAAGUUAUUCCACAGACGGUAGUACAAAAUUAUGUGAUCACGCACGCACACAGUGAUAGGGUAAUUAUUGAAACAAAAAUGAAAUUUGUCUGUUUUCCAUUUGAAAUCUAUUACUAAUAUAAAGGAAAAGAAAAAUCUUUAAUUACUUUUUUUUUUUUUCAUGUAGGGCAAGGCAAACAUCACUAUCUUGUUAAAUUAAUAUUUAAAAUUAUCCCACCAAAUGUAAUUAUAACAAAUUAAAUAAAUAUUUACUAUGAGUUCAGCAUCUGGGUUCCCACUCCAUAAAUAUGCCAGCAUUUUAAAACAAACAAGACUUAGAGUGUGUUUGGGAUUGAGGUGCUGUAGCUUUUAAGCUACAGCUGCUGUGAAAAAAAAACUGUAAUUAUGAAACAAAAUUUAAUAAUAUAUAGUAAAUAUAAAUUUUAAAUAAUAAUUUUGAUAAAAAUAUUAAAGAUAUAAUAAAUUUUAUAUUAUACAAGUGAAAAAUCAUAUUAACAUAGCUUAAAAGCUACAGCAGCUAGUGUUUACCAAACACUACAGCUGCCCAACCUCAAUCCCAAACGCACUCUUAAGCGACAAAUACAAUUUUGUCAAUGAGUAUAAAGGUCGCAUUAUAAGCCAAAGGAGAGCAGUUAAGGGAAGAUAAAAUAUUAUUGUAUUGAACUGGUUAUUUCUCUCUAGGGGUGGCAAAAAAGUCUGGGCUGGUCUAGGCCCGCGGGCCUAAAGCCCGGCCCGUAAGGGUGGGCCCAGAUAUUGGCCUAAAAAUUACAAAGCCCACAUAUGUGGGAUCUGGACAAGGGCUUAGCAAAAAAGCCCGGACUUGGCCCAGGCUUUUUAAAUUUAUGAAUAAAAAAUAAAUUUAAUUUAAAUAAAAAAAGAAAAAACUCAAAAUAUUAAAUUAGUUUAAUUUUUUAUAUUAGUAUUUGUUAUUUUAUUAGGUUGUAUUAUUAAUAUUUUAUGUAUUGGACUAUUAUUCUAUUUUAUAUAUUAGAUGAUUAUCUUUAAUUUAAAUUUUUUCUUAAUUUAAAAAAUAUUUUAUAAUUAAUUUAAAAAGCCCAAGCCCGGCCCAGGCCCGGCCCGAGUUCGGUCCGUCCAAAUUUAAACGGGUUUUUGAAGGGCCUGGACUUCGUUUGAAUGAUGUGGGCUUGGGCCUGGGCUUUGAAAAGCCCGGCCCAAACCCGCAAAUUGCCAUCCCUAUUUCUCUCUCUUCUAUUAUUAAUUUGUUGUUAAUUAUAACCUUUGCGGGAUUUAAAAAAAAGAAAAAGGCCCUUGCGUUUUCAUCAACAUUACACUGCCAAAUGUGAAAUGGAUUGAGAACCACAUGUCCUUAUUAUGCUGCCACUCCACAAAUGUUUAUUUUCCCCUCAUUCUCCUUAGAAGCCAGAGGCAGAGUCAGUCCUGCACCCCUUUACGUAUGCCUUCUCCAUAAAUUAACAUAAACGAUUAGUAUUAGAGCUGGCAAAAUGGGUCAUCGGGUCGUGUUUGUAUUGUGUCAGCUUCGUGUCGUGUCAAAUUUAGGUCGACCCAUACUCGACCCAUUUAAUAAUCGUGUCAAAAUAUUGAGACACAAACCCGACACGGAAAAAUAAUCAGGUUAUCCAAUAACCCGCUAUCUAUAUAUUAAACAAAAGUUACAUCAAAUAUUUACACAUUUUCAUACAUACGUAUGCGCAUACAUACAUACAUAAUUUAUUGAUAUUAUAAAAUAUACAUAUCUACUAAAAUAUUAGACACACUAUUGAGGUUUUAAUUAUAUAUGUGUAAAUAAUAUUAUAUAUCAAUAUUAUAAAAUAUAUAUGUCUACGAAUAUUUUAUACAUUUAUACUAGCUCUAAAUGUAUUUAAAAAUUCAUAAAUAAAAUAUUAUGUCUAUAUUCAUCCUUUUAAAGAAUUAAAAAAAAUCAUCUCUAAUAUUUGAGUUUUGGUGACAAGAAUUUACAAAUUAUUUUAAAAUAGAAAAUAUAAUCGGGUCAUUGAUCGGGUAAAUGGGUCAAGAAUUUUAACUCUAACCCGACACGAAAAAAAAUCGUGUUGACCCGGACCCGACCCAUUUAAUAAUCGUGUUAAAUUCAACGACUCAUACCCAUUUAUUAGUGUUGUGUUCGUAUUGGGUAAUCGGGCCGUGUCAAAUUUUGCCAUAUCUAAUUAGUAUAAGAUGAUUUAACCACACAAUAUGUCAAAUUUACAUUUUGCAAUCAUUGAUACUUGGUGCUACAGUCAAAUUUAUAUUUAUUCAAGGUAGCGGGUUCAAUAAUUAAAUUCACAUAAAAAGAAAGAUGCAUUCACCCUUAAUGGCCCAGGAGCCAACCAAAUUCCGCGUCCGCGAAGUGAGGCACUUUUCUUAAAGUUAUUUCACAGACGGAAGAACAAAAUUCUGUGAUCACGCACAAAGUGAUAGGGCAAUUAUUGAAACAUAAAUAAUGUCUAUUUCCCAUCCGAAAUCUGUUCUAAUAUAAAGGACAAGAAAAAGUUUUAAUUAUUAUUAUUAUUAUUUUUCACGUAGGGCAAGGCAAACAUCACUAUCUUGUUAAAUUAACAUUUAACAUUGUCCCACCAAAUAUAAUUAUAACCAAUUAAAUAAAUAUUUACUAUGAGUUCAGCAUCUGAGUUCCCACUCCAUAAAUAUGCCAGUAUUUUAAAACAAACAAGACUUAAGCGACAAAUACAAUUUUGUCACCGAGUGUAAAGGUCGCAUUUUAAGCCAAAGGAGAGCAGUUAAAAGGAAGAUAAAAUAUUACCGUAUUUCUCUCUCUUCUAUUAUUAGUUUGUUGUUAAUUAUAACCCUUUUCGGGAUUAAAAAAAGAAAAGAAAAAGGCCUUUGCGUUUUCUAUUAGCAUGUGUACAUGUUUAUUUUCUGUGUUAGUAGUGCAGAGUAUAUACUGAACACACUGGACAAAAAGGGUAAUUUGUAAUCAAUUUAGUUUUAUAAACAUUAAUCUCGGAAGUAGUUACUGAACUUCAUGUGGAAAAAAAAAUAAAAAAAGAUAGUCGCUGAGCAAUAAAUCUACAAGUCAUCAAAAUCGAGCAAUUCUAUGGCAAGAAUUCUUUCCAGUGGGAGGAUUCUAAAACCAAGAAUCCACUGCUGAAAUUUUAUUCACUGAAAAUAGGGAACGAUUGACACACCAGACAACAAGAACAAGAUGCAAUUAAAUCUAAUGAAAAUUAAAAAAAGAAAAAAGAAAUACAUAUUCAAACAUAUUAAUGAAAAUCAUCCCCAAGUACGACACCGGAAGAGAAAGCAUUUUGGGUGGCUUGAUCCUCCCAUUGUAGCUCUUCCCACCAUUCUUUCUCUCCCUCGAUGACAACUCGACGUUCCUUCACGCUGCUGGAAUUGACUGGGAGCUUCUUCAGCUGUGGGCAUCCACGUACUUGAAUUUUCUUCAGCUUUGGAAGGGGCAGGGGAUUCGGGUAAACGCUCUUUAAAUUUCUUCCCCACUUUAUGGUUAGAGAUUCGAGUUGUGCAAAAAAGUUAUGCUCUGACCCGAUUAUCUCCGAAAUAUCUCUCAAUUUAUCAACACUAAUUAUUUCUUCCAUUUCUGUACAAAAGACUAUACGCAGCUGCUUGAGAAUUUGAACAAAAACUAGCCACGUUAAGUCUUUCAUUUUUUUGCAACUGCUUAUGACAACUCUGUCGAGACUGCGGAAACCACUUUGAAAAAGCUUCUUCACCUCUUCUGUGCUGUCAAUCUUCAUCUCUUCCAAGUUAAUGUCUUCAAGAUCUAACUCCUGAAGAUUCUCCAUGUAUGCGAGAUGUAAGAGAUUGAACGGUGCACUUUUACAAUGGUAAACCAAUACAAAUUGAGUGAUGCUCACCAGCUUUGGAUAUUUCAAAAACUUUUGGACAGCAAGUGAACUUCCGAAGGACCAGCUUAAAACAUUUAAAUGCUUCAAACCCAGCAAUUCCUUCAUCAAAGGUUCAGCACCAUCACAUAGAACGUUACCUUCUUUCCCUUUUAUUACCGAAAGCGACCGCACCCACGCAACCUGAGUACCUCCAACUUUGAAAAGCCAGAUAUCAAUUCAUGUGGAAUUAUAGACAAAUGAAAUGCAUAGUCCAAGUUCAAAUAUCUCAGCUUCUCCAAUGCCUUCAGCUCUUGCGGCAACCCAGUUAUGUCAGUCGAUGAAAGAUCAAGAUGAUGUAAUGAAACCAAACUUGAAAUCCCUGAAGGUAGUUUACUUAGGGAAAGAUUUAUUCGUAGACUUAAUACUCUAAGAGAAGACAUCGAUUGAAAGAAGCCAUCAGUAAUCUCCUCAAUCCAAUUUCCAUCCAGAAGUAAAGUGACGAGACGUGGACACGUGGGAAUUUCCGAUAGGCUUUGAAUUCUAGUUUUCAUCAGAGAUAUCCGUUUGGCACCUUCCCAUUCUUCAACCUUUGGUGCUUCGGUCAGUUUAACUCCAGCGUGAACCAGAAAGUUCUGCUCCUCCUUGUCUACCGUGCACGCUAUCCAUAAUGACAUCUCACGAAUCAUAUCGUGCAUCUUUACAUGAUCAUCGCCUUCUUCCUCCAAUAAGCAUGCUUGAAGAAGGUCAUCAAUAAAAUCGCAUCCAUCAUCAAAAUCACACACAAAUCCUUCACUAAUCCAGUAAUCAAUCAAUUCCCUUCUAGGAAUUUCGUAGUCUUCAGGGUACAAACAACAAUACAGGAGACAGGAACGAAGUUCGUCCGUAGACAAACUAUCAUAGCUGAACUUUAAACGCGAAAACACCUCUUCUUUCAUACCUGAGCAUUUAGAAGCUGAUGUUCUCAUUUUGUGAAUUGCACGUUUCCAAUCUCCAACUUUCCUUUGGCUUUUCAUCGCUCGACCCACUGUUUUAAGCGCUAGCGGCAACCCACCACACUCUCUUGCCAAGGUUUCGGCUAGCUCUGGAAUACUGGUAUGACUGUCAAGAGUGGAUCUUUCGACCAUCUCCUGAAAUAAUUCCCAGGCUUUAUCAUGCGCCAAACUAUACACUUCCACCUUUUCAGCGUCCAUUUGAUCGCAAACACCAGCUGAACGAGUUGUCAAGACUACUUUGGACCCAUCAUUUAGUUUUUGAAGAGGGACACCCAAUUGUGUUAAAUCAAUGCGUUCCCAUAUAUCAUCCAAUAACAACACAAACUUCUUUCCGCUUAAAAUUCUAGCGAUGUCCGCAGCCUUGUCUCGAGGACUUUUUUUCUCCCACCUUUGGUCUUCUGAAAAGCCAAUCCUUUUUCCAAUGUCAUCUUGAAGUGUUGACGCAACCGCCCAGAUAACAACAUCAAAAUUAUGCUGUUGAUGGCAGAAGUUGUUGUUGACUUGUUUUAAAAGGGUAGUUUUGCCGGCUCCCCCUAUACCAUACAAGCCGAUAAUUCCCCUGUUCUUUUCCUGAUCAGUGAUACAUCUCCAAACUUGAUCAAGUAAUAGUUCUUGACCAACAACUGUGUGAUCAAGAGGUAAUUCAAUUGCUGCACCAUCUGGCGCCUUCUCAACAACGACUUCAAUUUUUUCUCCGUCUUUCUUUAAAUUGAUCACUCGAUCCGUCAACUCGACCACCUGAGUCCCGUAAUUGUAGCUUGAAACGAAGUUUUUGGAACAGAGGCCUCCAAGGCACAAUCUAUCCAUUUCUUGAGCUCUAACUCGUUCCAGCUCGGUAAAUUCAGUUUCCAGAUUUUGCACAUCUUCAAGCCACCCUGCGACCUGGUUCGUUCGUCUGGUUCGAGGUCGUUGUUCUUCGACCUCAACCUUGGUCUUCAGAUCGUCCCUUGCUCGAGUCAAUUUGUGCAAUUCAGUCUCCAAGACCCGAAGAUUUUUUUCGAGACCCCAUACAUAUUUUGCUUGUUCACCAACGCAGUUUGAAGUUCGAUCAAAUAAGUCUGCUGGUAAGAAGGUUGAGAUUAAGUUACCCAUUGUCGUUGACGAAAAGAGGAAGAGAAGCAAUGAGUACAAUGAAAAGAAUUAUGCUGCUUUGGAGAGGGUUAUAUUUGGAGAAGCACAAUACCGAAAUAAAAAUAUGAUACAUUUGUUGCUUUAUAAUUCAUAUGUCAAAUAUCGCGAACAUAAUGAUACGUUUACACGUCAUAUAAAAUUUGUAAUUCAUUUCAGUAAUGACAGAAUUAAUAUUAAAUCUUAUCAUUUAUUAUUUAAGUGAUAAAUUUAUAUUGAGAAUAUUUAUUUAGAAUAAAAAUUUUGUGCCUUUACUUUGGAUGAAGAUUCAAAAUAUUAAGUCAAUGAUAGCUAGAUAAAAAAAUAAAAUAAAAUAAAAUAAAUUUUAACAUAAAUUUUUUAUUUAAUAAAAAAUAAAUUCAAUAUAAAAUUCUAAUCCCUUAGAUUUACAAGUGCAAUCAUUGAUGAUGUAAAGAAUUAUUAUUUUUUUGGUUAAAAUACUAAGAUAUGGACAGUCAAUCAUUAGCCAUAUGGAUUCAAUUUCUUGAUCGACCAAAAACCUUGUUUCGACUGAAAUCUAUACGUGCAAGUGAACAUAAAUGAACAAGCUUUCAUCUGGAUUUACAGAGUGUGAAGUAAAUGGUGCGCGGUUGGAGGGGGGGGGAGCUUAAAUGGCAUGUUUUAUUCAAACGAUGCUGCAACUGCAGUUCUUAGUAGUUGGAUUCAGAAAACUAAGCUUCGAUAUCAUGACAUAACAAAAGAUGCAAUAAAAAUUGCACGGACAUAAUAGUUGUCAUGCUUCCAUAACAACGUUACCAAGUCGGUAAAAGCUAGGAAUAACAAAACACAUAAAAGUAGUUUCAUAUUAGAGAAUAUCUGAAUUUCCUGGUUGGUGGAGUUUCUUUGAUGAUCUUGUUCGAAAGCUAAUACCAUUCAACUCUAAAAUGUACCUCAAAGUAUCAAUCAUCUCAAUUAACUAGCCACAAAGUUUCCUUAGCUUGCCACAGUUCAGUUGUAGCAAACUACCAAAGCCCAUUUGACAAGCAGCCACUCUUUGUUCAUCUGUCAGCUGUGAAAGUGCCACCGCUAAUCUAUCUGGAGUCCAUCUGGUUAAGAACUUUGCCUUUGCGACUGCUGACUUCACUAUUCGUUCGCAUUGACUUUGUAUUGACAUUUUUUACCCGGCGGUAAAUUCUUAAACAUGGAUUCAAUUUCCGUCCAGUACACAAUCAUGGCAAAUAAACUAACUACGCCUUCACUACUUGAAAAUACAAAUUUAUUUUAUUUGUAACGCAAGUCAUUCCAUCGCUUGCCUUAACCUCACGCACGGCUUCACCGCUGCAAUAUCAUCAUAUGACUGCGAAAUUAUAUAUCUCUAUAAUUUUGUGAUGCAUAUGCAUUUUGCUUUUCAUGCCCUUGCAUUACUGAGCUGAUUUAUAUUCUCUGCUUGCAGUUUCAUUCACUAAUAUCCUUUAAUUGUUGUCAACGUCUUCUGGUCUAUAUUUGAUGAGCAUAGUAAAUACCUACUUUUGAUGCUCCAUAUACAAGUAUUAUCAGUCUGUUGCAAAUAGAUGUUUAUCACUAAUGUUGAAAUCGUAAAAUUUUAGACAUACUAGAACCUAAAAUCAAUGAUCCAAAGAGCCAUCGCCGUUUUUUGGAGCAGUUCUUGCAAUAGAUUCCCACUGUGGUUUUGAUUAAUUUGGUCAUGAUGCUUGUGUGCAGUGAUACUGGUAGGAAAGUUGAUGAUCCUGAGGUGCUUGAGGCAAUUCGUUUGACAGUUAUAAACAAUCUACUUCAGUAUCACCCAGUAAUCAUUUUUUUGUCUCUCUUGAGAUAUAACUUGGUGGAGCACCUGUAGGAAUUGUCUUAUUGAAAAGCUUAUUCCAUUUGUGUUGGUGUUGGAAUCAGGAAUCAAGUUCCCAGUUUGCAAUGGGUGUUGCCUUUGGCGUUGAUCCUCCAAAACAACAGGUUUUUGCUUUCUGGUCUUAUUUUGAUUUUUCAGAUUAUUGAUAUUUUUGGCUCUUCUCAGUAGUGGAUCAUUUGAAUAGGAAACUAAGUUGUUUUUAGAGUUCUCUUAGGCCAAAUAUUACUUCACUUUUAUCCUCAUUUUAUUUAAAGACAUUAUAUUCAAUUUGCCUGCCAUUGAAAUUAAUAUCAUGUUGUCAUGAAUGUUAAAAACUAUGCAUAUGAGUUAUUAUGGGAAGGAUAAUGUCCCACUUCAAUCUUGUCUCAAAUCUUGUUGUGCUGGAAUUUGUCAGGUUGAUGUGGACAUAGCAACCCACAUAAGCAUCUAUGAUGAUGGCCCCAACCGAAGGUAAUGCAUAAUUCAUUCUCUUAUCUAGAUGAUGGGGCUUUUGCUAUCCACCAAACUUUGGUCCCACACUAUUACUACUCAUACUCCAGCCCAAGUGGCAAUUUCCUGCCCAUAACUGAAGUAGUCAGAUAAUUUGGCCCUUACUAUUUUUGUUUAUUUUACCUUUUGUUUUAUUGAAGUUUGCUUUUGGUGGAGACGGCUGAUCGACCUGGAUUAUUGGUGGAUCUUGUAAAGAUUUUUACUGUCAUCAAUGUCAAUGUUGAAUCGGGAGAGUUUGAUACUGAGGUAGUGAGGUAAUCUUUUAUAACAAACUCUAUAUAUAUAUAUAUUGACAAAAGAGUGGCCUUCCCUUAUAAAUAUAUUUUGUUCUAAUUUUUGUUUUCGCACCCAGGAGUUGUUGGCUAAGGCAAAGUUUCAUGUCAGCUACAAGGGUGAAGCCAUUAUCAAGCCUCUCCAACAGGUAAAAACAACAGGCCUACAUAUAGGACAUCGGAAAUUGCUUUAUAGAUUGUUUGCUCUGAAGAAUAAAGAGACUUACCAUUUCUACUCAAAAUCGGUAUUCUAGUUGCAAAACUGUUCUUAUAUAAAAGAUUUGAAUUUAAACUUUGAAGUGGGCGGUAAGAACAUUAACGUGCUAAUGAUCACACGGUGCACCUGAAGGCUUGGACGAUCGUUGAUGUACUGAUUAGACUUUGCUUGAUCAAAUUUGCAGGUUCUUGCUAACAGUUUGCGAUAUUUCUUGAGGCGACCAACAACCGAGGAGGCAAGUUUUUGAGCUCUUGUUGAAGACUCCACCAACCAAAUUCAGGAUUACACACACUUGAUGAAUUUUUUUAUUUCUCUCCCCAGUAAACAUUCACAAGGGGAAUUACAAUAUGUUGUCUCCCUAAUCUCCUUACAUAAAAUAAAUAAAACAUGAGAUAUAUAUAAACGGACAACAUUUUAAUGAUAUAUCAUAUGGUAAACACUUAUAAAAUAGAAACCUUGCUAAUUUUAUCAUCCUCAUCAAUUCAUAGUCCUUUUUAAAUAAUUUUCAAGUUUAGGGAUAUGAUAUAGCUGUGUUGUAUUACUCAUAUUAAUCUUAAGCCUAAAGUUUGCAAUGGGUUGAUGAGCAUACAACCUUUUUCUAUUCAUGGAUUAAAAUAAUAAUAAUAUUAUUAUUAUUAGUUUUUUUUUUUUUUAUGUGAACCUUAGUUUACAUCCUAAAUUUUCCUAUAUCAACAUUUCAUUCCAGUACGCAAACAAGAUACAUCACUAUGGUUUCUUUAAUUUCAUUCUGUUUUCAUGCUUUGAAAAUUAGCGUCAUGACAUUGAUUCAGCAACUUUCACAAAACAGAAACAUAAAGGAGAUUUUUACCAUGUGGCUUUGGUGCAUUGGUCAUCAAAAUCUGCACAAUUAAUUAUAAAGAAUAUACGAUGUUUGCGCGUGCAAUUAUGAACGACUCAUCUUAUAUCAACUUAAGGGCAAAAUUAUUUUAAAAUCUCUUUGUAUAUAUGUUACAAUGUCAUUAAUUUUUUUUGUCAAUGGUCAUAGUUUAUUUAAUUGGCUACCAUUUUUAAGUUUCUUAUGACAGUUAACGGGUGAGGUAAAUCGAACACUUAAUUUUUUUAUAUUUAUAUCGUCAAUGGUGGAUUCAAGAAAAUAAUUUAUCGAUGACUAAAUUAUAUGACGACACGAUUCGAAAACUCAAAUUUUAUAGGUUUAAUAAAAACUAAAUUAAAUAAUAGUAAACCACCUAUAUGGGUUACCUCAUAACUUUUUAUAUUUUAAUUAAAGUGUGGUUUUUGUAAUUCUCAAAAUUAAAAUUUUAUAAAUUUUGAAUUUAUAAGACUAUUUUUAUAAAUUUAACUUGCCUAUUUUAAUAUAUUCAACAGAAUUAAUUAAUAACUCAAAUAUUUUUUUUAAUUAUUCUCUCUGUCCCACUAAUCAUGAGGUGAAUCCACCUCUAUAUCUCAUUUUAUAUUGUGUAAUCUCGUUAUGACUAAAAAGUACCUCCCUUAGAUUCAACUACUUAUCUAGGGAAAGUUUUUAAAAGCUGAGUCCACAAGCCAUGUCCCAUAACUUAGAUGACUGAAAAACAAAAACAAAACAAAAGGGAACAAAAGAAGGCCAUGCGGCCCAUGCUCUGCAAUGAGUGCUCCCUAAUGAUCAAGAAAGAGUAUUAUAAUUUAAUAUUUAUCCAAACAGAAAAUGACGUACACGGGAACAAUAAAUGAUCUCCCUAGAGAUGAGAGAAAUGGAUAACAAUAUUCUCUUAUUUAACUUCACUAUAUAAAGAGCUCUCUAUCAAAAUCAUAAUUCAAUUCAUUCCACCCACAUUGUUUGGAAAGAGAGAAAGUGAGAGAAAAAAGAAGGAAAAUAUGACAGGAUCAUUUGCUAGAGGAGCUCCCACCUUUAACUCCAUGUUUUUCAAGUAAUGUUUUCAUUAUCUAUCUACUUUGCUAUUUCAUCAUUUCAUUUUGACAAUCGCACUUCAUUAUUGCAUGGUAUGUUUGUAAAUAAAUGUUUUCACUUUAUCUAAAUUAAUUUUGUUAUGAAACAGUUCGUUCGAAAUAGGCCUAAUAGUUUCAAAUUAUUUAUUUACUAAUUAUGAGUGGUUGGUUAAGUACAUAGAAUUAAAUGUUUUAUUAACUGAACCAAUAUGUCUCCACAGGGGCCUCAGGUUAAAAAAAAUUAUCAAGAAAUAUGAAAGUCUUCAAUUAAAUUUGUCUCUGUGUCUGAUAAUUUUAUUUUGUAGCCCCCAUAUGUUUAUAUUCUUGUGGUAUAACCUACUUAAAAUUUGUUGUUUCUGUAUGAUUGAUGACAUCCAAAAUCCUGAUUUCGCCACUGUCCACGCAAUAAUAAAAAGAGAUUGCUUUCAUUCAUUUGAGUGUUUGAAUAUUUUACUCUUUGUUUUUGCAUUAUUAAUUUGUUGAGUCUUUUUGAAACAUAUAGGCCAAUGAUGAGGAAAUCCUUUCAAAAGAAAACAAGUUCUUAUGAUAUGAUGAGAGAAACAACAUUGAAAUCCAAUGCAGAAGAAGGAAAUGUGAUGAGGAGCCAACAGUUGAAUAAUAAUGUGGGAGAAAAUGAAGGGAAUUGUGGUUGGGUUCCUCAUGAAAGAACUGGGAUUUAUUACCCAAAAGGCCAUGAAAAAGUUAUUGACGAUGUUCCUCCUAGCGCUGGAAGAGAUUUUGAAGUUAAUUGGUUCUCAGAAACUCAUGGAUAAUUUAUGGAUAUGUUUUUUUUUUUUCAAAUUACUACACAUGCUUAAAGCGAAAAGGCUUUCUAUUGUCUCAAAGCAAAAUCCGAUUGUGAAAAAAAAAAUUAAAAUAAAAUAACAAUAAUGGAAAAUGAAAUCAUUUAGAUUCAGCUCAAUGCUAAGCAUUCCAAAAUUUAAGUUUCAAAAGAUAUGACAAUCAUUUAUUAGAUGGUGGUUAAAUAAUUUUACAAGUUAUGAAAUCUAUCGUCUAAUAAAUGAAUAACGUGUGACUUUUAAGACUUAAGAAGUUAAGACUAAAAAAUUAGGAUCUUAAUAUUAUUCUUACUUUUAUAUCAUCUUUUUAUUUAGGUCUAUUGUUUAUUGUCGUCUGAUUCUUCAAGCUAAAUGUACAAAACUACAAAUGGAUUAGGUGGGCCUCGCAUGGGCUUAAUUUUUUGUUAUGGCUCAUGAGUGGUCCUAUUGGUACCCCUAAAAAACCUUCUCAAACCCUUCUUUUAUAAUCAUGCAUUUGUCCCUAUUUAAAUUUACAAUGAUAAACAGAAGAAAUUAAAUUUUAUUCAAAUAACUAGUCUCCAUAAUUACAAUCAUGUGAAACCAAAACUCGACUUAACAAUUUAUUAUUUAUUUUGACGAUAUUUAGUUGACAUUCCUUGUUUAUCAAAGCACAAUGUAUUUUCUUAAAUUUUGAUAAAAUUUUAAUUAUUUUGUUAUUAUUAUUUAAGAUGAAACCUUAAAAUAUCAAUAACCAAUGUUGGAUGUUGUUAUAAGAAAUUCUAAUGAAAAUAUUAUGGAAAUAGCUUUUAAAAUUAUAAGUUCUAAUGGAGAUAAUGAUUAUUCGAAAGUUGAUGCCAUCAGAUUUGGGUUUCAAGCUCCCCAAGACGAAGAAAAUGUGAAAAUGGGGUUGGUGUGUAAACCAAGGGUGUUUUUGGAAUCAACUUAUGUGGGUUUAGAAAUCGAGUGAGGCUAUAUACACUCUAAAAAUUACACUAAACACCAUAAUUUUAUAAAAAAAUUUAUUUCAAUAAUAUUUAUGGUAUAAAUUAUUAUUAAGGACAUGACAAUUAUUAAUUUUUUUUGUAUGACUAUAAUUACUUCUUUUUCAGUUAUAUUAUGAUGAUAUUAAACAAGUUUACAUUGGUUGCUUGAUUUUUUCUUUUGGCCAAAAAAUACAUGUCAUUCCACAAUACCAGAGUAACAUGGACAAUUAUUCAGACUCUUACAAACUAGUCUGCAACUGAGGCAUUACAACCCAGCAAACAUUUUUGCGACAUAAAAAUGUUCAGACAAAUCCAGAUUAAAAAAAAAAGGGCUUAAUUUACCAUCCUCUUUUGACAAACUUUGAAUUUUCUGACAUUCAAUUGGAGGUGGAAGUGGCAUCAUAGUUGUACUGAAGAAGAUCGUCAUAAGGGUCCCAGGCACCUACUCUGAAUCAUUCUUUCUUGUCCCUCUCUUUCAAGUCCUCCAUCAACCUCAAAAUCAUAUUCUCAGCAAUUAAAAAUUUCAUCUUCACUUCUCUUCUUGAUUCUAAGCUCAGAACUAUGAAGCGCAAGCUGCGUCUUUUAUUUAGCUAAAUGAUAUAUUGGUUAAUUGAUUUAUUUGUUCGGAUUAUAAUGUUUAUUUCUCACGAUCUUUUCAUUGGUGAAAUUUUUUGAUGGAUUUUUUUAGUUGCUCCUUUAUCAUUCUUCAUUUAUUGGAGAAAUAUAUUAUACAACCAAAUAAUUAAAUUUUAAUGAUAAAAGAGUGUUUAGAGAAAUAUUUUGAAUAUGUAAGGCGUUUUCAUGAGUGUGUUAGAGUAAAUUAAUUUAAAAAGGAUUAAAUGAGUACAUUUUUGGUACUUUAAGGAAUGUACAAAAUAUAGUUCAUUUUUUUAAAUUAAUAAAUAAGUGUAUAUAGUAAUAAAACUUUGAGAAUAAUUUUUAGACUACAAAUAACUCUGCCCUUAGAAAUAAUAUUAUUUUUUGAAUGAUUUAGUGGGCAUAUUGAAUAAAGAUUUUUAUGAGGGCUUUCAAAGGUGCGAUAGUUCUACUCAUGACUCAUUUUUCUGCUAUUAGGAUUUACUCUUUGUUUCGUACUUUCAUUUGAGUGGAGCUCUCUCUGUCUCUCUCUCUCUCUCUUUGGAAAUGGAAAGCUUCAAUCAAUCACUUCAAGGAAAAAGACUUACAUGAGUUGAAAUUUCCUCCAGCCAAAUUACACGGCCCGAAUUGUUAACAUCAUAUUUAUCUAAUUUAUGAGCGGUCUCACUACUACUGCUCAGUAUAAGAUUGAUUUUGAAGUGGUCUUUCACAACCAUACAAUUUCGAAUCUCGAAAAUUAACCAUGAUAUUUCUUUCAUACUUCUUUCAAAACCUUUCGCCAAGUUUAAAAUAGUCUUCGAGUCUGAUUCAACAAUUAAUGGCAUUAAACCAAAGUCUAUUGCCAUUUUUAUUCUAAAAUUCAUAUCUUCAGCUUUAGCAUAUUCAACGUCCCCAUGAAAAUCUAUAUUCUGAAUUCCUACACUCCAAAAUCCUUAUAAAGCUUGUUUUAAUUUUUAUUUAUCAAAGUACCUUGGUUUAAUUUAUAAAAUACUAAUCCAUAAAUUAAAAUUAAUAAUCUUCUCAUUAAAUUUCACCUUAAAAAGAUUAUAAAUUAUUAAAAGUUUCUAAAAAUUAUAUAUAUAUAUAUAUAUAUAUAUAUGAAAUGAGGUGGGUGGAAAAAUGUUAAAAGAAUAAUUUUAUUUAAGUAUUAAUUAAAUUUUCAAUCAAAAUAAAAAUGGAAUUAAUUUAUCUUUAAUUAUUUAAAUAAUUUUAAUUAAAGAGUUAUAAGGAAUUUAAAGGAGGGUCUUAUAGGGGGUGUCAAAAGGCUGCGAUCUAAUGCUUCCGUUCAUCACAAUCUGCUACUGCGAUUGAUCGCGAUCUGCAGCCGUGGUCGCGCUCGUCCUGUCGCCGUUUGUCGUCGCGAUCUGUUACCUUCGGUGAAGAGGAGCACAAUGUUUGUUUUGGGAAUUAUAAUUUUAUAUUUUAAAUUAUUAAUUUCUUAUAUUGUUUGGCCACUGAUUGUACAUUAAAAUUAUAUAGAUUGGUGUUUGUAUUAUUUCAUUGUUUGCUUAUUUGUUAUUAAUGUUAUUAUUGUUUAUUAUUAUUAUUAUUAUUAUUAUUGUAGUAUUAGUAGUUGUUAUUUAAUUUCAUUAUUAUCAUUAAUUAUUACUAUUAUUUAUUUAUAAUGUUAUUAUUAAAUUUAUUAUUAUUAUCAUUAAUACCAAAGGACAACUAUUAUUAUUAUUAUUAUUAUUAUUAACAACUAAGGGCGUUUUAGUAACUUAAAACAACUUAACAUAUUCCGAUUCCGAUUCUUAGAUAAAGUAAACACAUCAAUGGGGUUUUAACUCAUUCCGAUUCCAAUUCCGAUUGCUACAGUUUAAGUAAACAACUUAUUUUGAUUCUCAUUCCUCAUUUUCAUUCCGAUUCUAACCCAUUCCGAUUACUGACAAGUAAACGCAUUAUAAAGGAAAGGAAAAAAAAUUAAUUAUUUUUUUUACCAAAUAUAAUUAUAACAAAUUAACUAAAUAUUUACUAAGAGUUCAGCAUCUGAGUUCCCAAUCCAUAAAUAUGCCAGCAUUUUAAAACAAACAAGACUUAAGCGACAAAUACAAUUUUGUCGACGAGUAUAAAGGUCGCAUUAUAAGCCAAAGGCGAGCAGUUAAGAGAAGAUAAAAUUUUACCGUAUUAAACUUGUAAUUGUGGAUGCCUGGCCUGGUGUUAAAAAGGAUUUAGAGCCACAAAAAGUUUUUGACCAAACCAAAAAGAAGUAGCAAAGCAAAAAAAGGAUAAUAGCAAAGCAAUAAAUCUACAAGUCAUCACAAUCAUGCAACUCUAUAGCAAGAAAAAAAGAAAAAGAAAAAGGAAAUACAUAUUCAAACAUAUUAAUAAUAAGGAUCCUCCCAAAGUACGGCACAGGAAAAGAAAGCAUUUUGGGUGGCUUGUUCCUCCCAUUGUAGCUCUUCCCACCAUUUUUUCGUUCCCUCGAUGACAACUCGACGUCCCUUCGCGCUGCUGGAAUUGAGUGGGAGCUUCUUCAGCUGUCGGCAAUGAAAUACUUGAAUUUUCUUCAGCUUUGGAAAGGGCAGGGGAUUCGGGUAAACGCUCUUUAAAUUUGUUCCCCGCCACAUGGUUAGAUAUUCGAGUCGUGCGAAAAAGUUAUGCUCUGACCUGAUUAUCUCUGAAAUAUCACUCAAUUUAUCAACACUGAUUAUUUCUUCCAUAGUAAAACCCUGCAUAUUUAGCUGCUCGAGGUUUUGAACAAAAACAAGCCACGUUAAGUCCUUCCCUCUGCAAGACCUUAGGACAACUGUGUUAAGACUGCGGAAACCAUUUCGAAAAAGUUUCUUUACCUCUUCUGUGCUGUCAAUCUUCAUCUCUUCCAACUUAGAGGAUUCAAGUUCUAACUCCUGAAGAUUCUCCAUGUAUGCCAGAUGUAAGACAUUGAACGGUGGCCUUGUAUACGUGCCACAUUCAACCCAUACAGAUUGAGUGAUGCUCACCAGCUUUGGAUAUUUCAAAAACUUUUGGACAGCAAGUGAACUUCGGAAGGACCAGCUUAAAACAUUUAAAUGCUUCAAACCCAGCAAUUCCUUCAUCAAAGGUUCAGCAUCAUCACAUAGAACGUUACCUUCUUCUUCUUCU